UACGAAGGGGGCUAGCGUUGCUCGGAAUCACUGGGCGUAAAGCGCACGUAGGCGGACUCUUAAGUCGGUGGUGAAAUCCUGGAGCUCAACUCCAGAACUGCCUUCGAUACUGAGAGUCUCGAGUCCGAGAGAGGUGAGUGGAACUGCGAGUGUAGAGGUGAAAUUCGUAGAUAUUCGCAAGAACACCAGUGGCGAUGGCGGCUCACUGGCUCGGUACUGACGCUGAGGUGCGAAAGCGUGGGGAGCAAACAGG
rnacentral:rRNA from 1 species